UACGUCCCUUCAGAGGCCUUGAGAUUUUUAGGGGGUGGUAUUGACGUCAAAGUUUUACACGGUACUGAUCCCUAGAUACCUGGUAAUAUUAUUACUUCCACUACCGAAAAAUUUUACUACUAAAACUUGAAUCAACGAUUCAAUAGUCACACUUAUUUGCUCUUAGUAAAUUCUUUAAUAAAUCAUUUAGUCAUACAGAGAACUUUAAAGUAAUGGGUUAUUUAGCUCGGAAAUCAAGUGAUUCUUCGAUUGACUGAAAAAUUACUCAUUUAACUAAUAAAUUUAUUAGUCAUUGAUAUUUUAUCAAUAUGACUACGACUAAAUCUCGAAGAAAGCUUACUUCUAAUAAUAAGAUCUCAAGUGGAUUACAUUAUAUUAGUAGAACAUACAUACAUUCAGUAGCAGAUAGUAGGUACAGAGUUUUAGACGCAAUUGACUCAUCUGAUCUCCAUUCAGCUAGUGACAACGUACACACACCAAAAGCACCAUAGCGGGAAGACUUGAAUGAACCAUAUCAGUAAUCUCGUCUUGUCUUGUCUUAACUAAAUUGAAAUAGUUAAAUAGUUACAUACUGAAAAGCUAUAACGUCAUAGAUAAUUUAUAUAUCUCGCUUCCUCUGUUACUUAUUAGAUAAAAAAAAAAAAAAAAUACUUAACUCUCUAUCACGACGAUCUAACUGGACUGACGUAUUAACGACAAUUUCGGUAGCUGAAUGAUCUUGCUGUUGCUUUAUAUUUACUGAGUAUAUAAGGCUUAAGGAGGCCAACUCCUUAUAUUAUAAUUUAUAAUAAUAUAUGUAUAUAAAUAAAUAUUUAUCCACCCAUUUUCUUGUUGAUUACUUGGCUGUACAUAAACGGGAAAAUAUCUACAAGUCGGAUGUAAAAACAUUAAUAAAUUACUAUAUGUAUUUAAUAAAUAAACAAAUGAAUAUGAA